ensembl:lncRNA
UUUUCAUUUUAAGUAUUCAAAUGACUUUUGAAAAUAACUUUUUAAUUGGAAUGUAUUUCUGCUGUGUGGGAAUUAGAUAUUUUUGAGUCUGGAUCACUUUGUUGUACACUUUGUCCUUUUCCAGACAGAGAGGAAUGAAAAAAAAAAGGCAUGGGACGACUGAACCUGCCCUCCUGUAGGCCUGGUCCUUGGUCCUGACCUUGCAGUGGCAGAGAGGCAGGGGUUUGCUGUCUCCUGCAGAGAAGCUGUCAAGCCCUUCCUGGCGUGAUGCUUAGGCGGGGAACUUCUCUUCCUCCAGCCUUAACAUGGCGAGUGCAUGCUAUACCCGUCCUCAGCUUAUUCCUAUCUCACCGAUACUUUUAAACAGAGGACUCAGUUUCUUGGGGCUGGGUGUGUGUCUCAGAGGUAGACCAUAUGUUAGUAGUAUACGAGACUGCCUGGGUUUGGUCCCAGCACCACAGGAAAAAAGUGAGUUCCUUAUUUUUAGUAAAGUCGUUUAACUUUUCUUUUGUAAUGCAUUUUUUCUUUAUGUUUGCUUAUGUUAUAAUGGAUGACUUUUUAAAAAUAGUGACUUAAAAUUUUUAGUAAUAACAAUAUUUUCUUCCCCAAGAGCUACAGAAAAGAAACUAAGAAAGUUAUUGGCCAGCUUCCACUUCAUACUGUAAAGGAUGGAGAAAAGGGUAUUGAUGUUGAUGCUGAUAACUGUGCAGUGUGUAUCGAAAAUUUUAAAGUCAGCAAUCUUAUCAGAAUCCUGCCAUGCAAGAUGGUCUAAGGCAGUUCUUCCUGACUUCAGAGUGAUGCUCAGCAUGCGGCACAGGUGAGCAGCACGAAGUCUGCCGACAGCUGUGGUUUUCAUUGACCUUCAAGCUCGGGUUUGUGACAGGCAUAUUUUUCAUAGCACAUGCAUUGACCCAUGGCUUUUGGAUCACCGAACAUGUCCAAUGUGUAAACUUGAUGUCAUCAAAGCCCUGGGAUAUUGGGUUUGUUACGUUUCUGUUUUUAUUUUAUCUCUGCCCCAGCUCUUCCUGAGUGAUUCCAUUUCAUUAUUGACCAGAGGCAAGAGGAACAGAUGAGAUAUUCCUUUUGGUUUUGUAAAUAAGUUGUUCUCUUUAGUAAAAGUGAUUCUUAAAGUAGUCCAAAACAAAUCAGUGAACUAAAUUUAUGAUAGAAUACUAUGCUAGGAUGUUUCCCAGAGUUUACAAUUACUUAGAACAGUAUGUUCUGACAUACUGCACUGCAAAAUGUGUAUAUGCUAGCCAGUUUUGUACAAACAAAAAUCAAAAUGUGUGAAACGGCUAGGGAUUUAGCUCAGUGGUGCCACUGCCUGCUUGGCAAGCACAAGGUCCUGAGUGUGAUCCCUGGUACCCCCCCAAAAAAAUGUAUGAAACAGAAGACACCUCAUAUCAUUUUCUGGCCUAAGGUACAGUUUUAUAUAUGAGGAAACAAGAAACAAAAGCCUUUUUUUUUUUGGUACCGGGGAUCGAACUCUGGUCCUUGUGCUUACACAUAGGUGGCAAAACCACUGAGCUAAAUCCCCGGCCCAAAAGCCAGUAUUUUAAAAUGUCAGUUCUCCCUGUUCCUGGGUUUCAAAAUUUAAUGUCAGAGAAAUUUGUCCAGCUUUCAAACCAAAGUUUGCUUAAUGCUUGGGUCUAAGUUCUGAACUACUAUCUUUCCCAAAAAGGAAGGCAGGAAAAA